GCCCAGUUGCACCCAAGUAAAAUAAACAGUCUUGUUGCUCACACAAAGCCUGUUGGUGGACUCUCUUCAUAUGGACUCAUGUGACAUUUGGUGCCGAAGACCUGAGACAGGAGGACUCCUUUGGGAGACCGGUCCCCUGUCCUCGCCCUCUCUCCAUGAGAUCCACCCAUGACCUCGGGUCCUCAGCCCAGCCGAAGGAACUUCUCACCAAUUUUAAAUCGGGGACGCAAAGCCAACAAGAAUGAAGAAGUGGCCAGGACACUGUGGAGUGAUCGAUCAUGUGCCAGUUUUGAGUUAAGACUUUGCUCAAGGACUCUGGUACUUCCACUUUCUCAGGAAAUUAAAGCAAUGUGAACACCCUCUGGCCAGCCUGUUGGAGGGUGAGAGACCACAUGGAGGAGACAGAGCCCUGAUGUCCCAGCUGAGGACAUCCCAGAAAAGCCUAUUUCCAGACAACUGAGGACAGGUGAAUGAGUUCUUUGUAGAUGAACCAGAAUCCAGUCUAUCUACCUGCUGAGCACAGACAUGUGAGCAACCCCCCCAUCAAGGUCAACUGAGCCUGGCCCAGAUCAACAGAAUCACGAGAUGACCUAUGGACUCAGGAGCAAUCAUGAUGUGGUUGUUCCAUGACACUGAAUGUAGAGGUCGUUGAUUCUGCAGCACCAGCAAACUGACACAUAACACCGUGUUUAAUAUUGGGUUCUGGGCUUUGGGGUCCCUGCAGAGUUCCUGAUUUCAGCCCCAAGGGCUCAUUCACAAAUUUAUUACUCAGAUUCUACCCUGUCAACCCAGGACGUGUUACUUACACAUUUCCCAGUGUGGGCAGCAAGCCACCCAGGUGCCGAGGCAAGAGACCGAGGGCACAAGCUGUUCCAGUAUAAUAAAGAAAACAUAUAAAAUAAGAAUAGUUAUACUAGAUAUAGAUCGUAGAUAUGAUUAUAUAUGAAUAUUACUAAUCAUUAGUCUGUAGCAAUUACUCUUUAUUCCAUUAUAAUAAUAAUCUUCUCUCUACAAUUAUAACUUAAGAGAAACCAGGCCAUACAGAGAUAGGAGCUGAACGGACACAGUGAGAAAUGACCAGAAGACAAGAGUGUGAGCCUUCUAUUAUGCCCCGACAGGGCCACUAGAGGGCUCCUUAGUCUAGCGUUAAUGCCAGUGCCCGGGAAGAUGCCCGUUACCUAGCCGACUUUGGUCUAGCGGUAGCGUCAGUGCCCAGGAAAAGCACCCACUACUUAGCAGACUGGGAAAAGGAGUGUCCCUUUCCCCGGGGGAGUUAGAGAAGACUCUGCUCCACCACCUCUUGUGGAGGGCCUGACAUCCGUCAGGCCUGCCCGCAGUUAUCCAGAGGCCUGUCUCCCUGUGAUGCUGUGCUUCAGAGCAGUCACGCUCCUGGUCCGCUUACAUGUUCCAUCCUGUACACCUGGCUCUGCCUUCUAGGUAGUAGCAGAAUUAGUGAAAGUACUAAAAGUCUCUGAAAUGCAAAAAUAAAGGCAUAAGCUGUCUCCUUUCUCUCCACCUCAGCUGCCAAACAGGGAAGGGCCGCCUGUCCAGUGGAUACAUGACCCACAUGACCUUACCUAUCAUUGGAGAUGGCUCACACUGCUCACCCUGCCCCCUUGUCUUGUAUCCAAUAAAUAACAGCGCAGCCUGGCAUUCGGGGCCACUACUGGUCACUGUGUCUUGGUGGUAGUGGUUCCCCGGGCCCAGCUGUUUUUUCU
rnacentral:lncRNA from 1 species